rnacentral:misc_RNA from 1 species
CAAGCCAAUAGUUCCCUGCCUCCACCUUAUGACCCAACAACCCAUCUAACAGUCUCCAGAAAAUGGAACAAAUUUCCCCAAAACCCAACCAAAUUUUCAUCUUAUCUGGGCAGAGCAACAUGGCUGGUCGCGGCGGCGUAAUUAGACAUCCCUAUGAGCACCACCAGCACUGGGACCAUGUCGUCCCGCCGGAAUGCCACCCCCACCCAGACAUCUUCCGGUUAAGUGCCAAUCUUCACUGGGUUGAAGCCCAUGAACCUCUCCAUGCCGACAUCGACGCUAAAAAAGUGUGCGGAGUGGGGCCCGGGAUGUCAUUCGCCAACGCCGUCAGAGAGUGCGGCGUCGGGGUGAUGGGUCUGGUGCCGUGCGCCGUAGGUGGGACAGCGAUUAAGGAAUGGGCUCGUGGGGAGGAGCUGUAUGAGACAAUGGUGAAACGGGCGAAGGAGAGCGUAAAGGAAGGUGGAGAGAUCAAGUGUUUGUUGUGGUACCAAGGAGAGAGCGACACGUCUACUGAGCAUGAUGCUGAGGCGUACCAGGGGAACAUGGAGAAGCUAAUUGAGAAUGUGAGAGAGGAUCUGGCUUUGCCUUCUCUUCCAAUCGUUCAGGUAGCAAUUGCAUCAGGAGAUGCGAAGUAUUUGGAGAAAGUGAGAGAGGCACAACUAAGGAUUAAUAUCCCAAAUGUGGUAUGUGUAGAUGCCAAAGGAUUGCAACUCAAACAAGAUAAUCUCCACCUAACAACUGAAUCUCAAGUUAAGUUGGGCCAAAUGCUGGCUGAAGUCUACCUCAAGCAUUUUGCAUCAUCAUAAUCUUUUCUUCACUUCAAAGCAAGUAUGAAUCUAUUUUCUCCCCUUUCUGGUGUGUUUUUGUGUUGUUUGCUCAUUCUUGGUCUUUGAUUUCUCUUUUUAUAUGUAUCUUUUUCUUCUUUCUCCAUUCUCCCUUCUCAUUUAUGUUGUGUUUUUGUUGCCUCCCUUGCUUGUUCAAGCCUACAGGUAUCUGCUUUUCAUUAUGGGUUGUAAUAUGAUUAUGAUGGUUAUGGGUUUAAAAAAAAAAAA